CUUCAACACGUAACAUAGCUUUCACACUCUCGUCAACAUUAUGAAGGGCCUGUAUAUACUGCUUUUAGCACAGAUAAGUGUGCAGUUUCCGUGUGAUAAUACAAAGAUUCAAGCCACAAUUGGAAGCACAUUGACCAUUACCUGCACCUACAAAACAACCCAGUACCGAUUUAACAAGAAGUACUGGUGUGCUGGAGACUCCAGAUCCUCGUGUGAAAUUCUGAUGGACACCGAUGGAUUCACACACGCUGUGUACAGAACAAGGGCUCAAAUCAUUGAUAGAGUUUCUAGAGGGUUAAUUGUUUAUAUAAGAGAUCUAAGAUUGGAUGACAGUGGAAUAUACUGGGUUGCGAUUGACAAAAUCUAUUCUGAUAUAAUGACAAGGAUACAAGUCACAGUAACACAAGAGGCUGUAAUAAAACCAAACGUUUGGCCUCUCAGUUCCCCAGAGAUGACAUGCUGGGGUCAGCCAUCUGUGUUUCGCUGUAGGAGUGAGAGAGGAACAGAUGUGCGGUACACUUGGUACAGAGUUGGACACCCAAACAACAUUGUCCUGCACCAUUCCACUGAUCUCUAUCUCCAUUGUUCAAACAUCACUGAAGACAGCCAGCUUUUCUGCUCAGCCUUUAAUGAUGUCAGCAGUCAGAGUAGCGAAUUUGUUUCUCUGCAACUACUUCAGUCUUCAGACAAGGACUGUGUUUAUCUCAUCUCAUCAAACGUUGAGGAUUACAGUGAGAAUGAACGUGUGGACAUGAUGUAACACUUGGUUUUAAGAUAUCUGAAGAUAAACCUCUCUUUCGUCACCAGCUUUCUCUAGCUAUGACUGUAUAAAAAGCACAACAUCACUCUCAACAUCCAUCCAAACGACAGAGAAAUUCCUGAGCUCUGCAACAGUUUCUCAUCUCACAUGGAGUCAGAAUAAAACAAUGCCAUGGUCUGGUUUACCACUCUGGUAUGAGUGUCUUCGUUGGAUUCUCUCCUCAGUUAUGUUUACCAUCUUAUGUGUAGUGCACACAUGCUCAAAAUAUACAUCAAGAAGGCUUAAGGUUCAAGGCAAACACCCCAAAGACAUCUGACUGAGAAACACGGUUGCCUCUUCAUUACAAGUGUUUAUUUAUGGUGGGCAUGUACACACUUUGCGUUCUGUUUAAUUCACAUUGACUUAAAAUGAUAUUCCUUGUUCUUAUUAUCCACAAGGUGUACAAUUAAUUCAGCCCCAAACUGCUUAAUUCAUUUUGUAGAUAUUUUAGCUUUAGGUGUCUCUGUUUGUAAAUGUAAAACAUGUAUAUGGACAGACAAUCCUCACAUUGCUCACAUUACAAUUAGAUAUCCACAUUAAUGAAAUUAACAUUUUCAAGCAUUGCUGGACUCAACUUGUAUCCUGUUUUAUCCAUCAACUCGAUUCACUGGGAAUGAAACCAUGCAAGAGUGAAACUGAAAGUGACCCCUAUUAUCUAGUCUGCCUUUCCUGAAAGGAAAAUAUCACACACAAUGAGUUAUUGUUAAAGUUGUUUUGUGACUUUGAUGCCUGGACAAUGAUCAAGGAACUGUAAAGAUUGAUUUUUCUCUAUACUUUGAAAGUUUUAUAUAUACAAUGUGAAAAAUAAAUAAGGCAAACAAAUACACUUCAUUUUUUUUAAUCAUCUAUAUUUCUACUACCUACAAUCUGUUCUUUCAUCUUUGUUUAUUUUUCAAUAUAUGGCCUUGAAAUGUUAUGGGCUAUUCACUAUUUACUUCUUAACACUAGAGUUGCAGUGAGAUGCACAUAUACGUCAAGAAACAAAUCUCAGAUUUCACAGUGAUGAUCAACAUGAUUGAAAUAUGAACUCUGAACCAUAAUAGCUUACUAACAGUGAUAACAACAG